rnacentral:rRNA from 1 species
UACCAGCACCCCGAGUGGUCGGGACGUUUAUUGGGCCUAAAGCAUCCGUAGCCGGUUCUACAAGUCUUCCGUUAAAUCCAUCUGCUUAACAGAUGGGCUGCGGAAGAUACUAUAGAGCUAGGAGGCGGGAGGAGCAAGCGGUACUCGAUGGGUAGGGGUAAAAUCCGUUGAUCCAUUGAAGACCACCAGUGGCGAAGGCGGCUUGCCAGAACGCGCUCGACGGUGAGGGAUGAAAGCUGGGGGAGCAAACCGG